ensembl:lncRNA
CACCUGCCGGUUUCCCAUGAGAUAUCCAGCAGAAAUAAAAGGACCAUAUGGUCACAAUACUGUCUCUAAUGAUAAGAGGAGACCUUCACACAAGUCCAGCUGCGUCAUCAGUAGGGACGGACCGAGGAAUAAAUGCCGGGCGUCAGCGGACCGACGGUCUCACAGAAGCUCCCACGGUCAGGCACUGACCACGGAAUAAACGGACAUCCCACGCCGCACACAAACUGUCUUUGGAACUGGUGGGACCAGGUCCUCCCACCCUGCUUCGUUCACACUAUUCCACCUGCGAUCAAUUGUAGGCGCCAUCAAGAUAUCAGGAAGGUAGCGCUUGUACCUACGCUAAGCCAAGCCAGGUGGCCAGCACGACCAUGUGUCCCCGAAACACGUCAUGUGACCCACACGCUCUCAGGAGGUCCCGACACACCUGCCUGAGCACAGUCAGGGACGGAGAAGGUGGAAAACAACAGAGACCCAGCUGUCGCGAGCACGAUGCUCCUUCCUUAAGCGUCUGUAGUGAAGCGAUCGUCUCCGUUCGAUCUGCUACAACAAAGCCCCACGGGCUGGGCAGCUUAUAAACUACACAGACUUACUUCUCACAGUUCUGGCGGCCGGAAGACUGAGAUCACGGAGCCAGCCCUUCUCCAGGUGGCAGACUGCUGACCUCGCCUUGCGUCCUCACAGGGCAGAAGGGGCCAGAGAGCUCGCUGGGGCCUCGUUUAUAAGGACACUCAUCCCAUUCACAAGACCUCGCCACCUCCCAAAGGCCCCGCCUCCAGACACCAGCACGCUGGAAUUAGAGUUUCAACACGCGAAUUUUGAGGGGACGCAUUCCGUCCAUUGUGGCAACCAUGCAUUGCGUACAAAAGAAAUCAGGAGACUAGCGCUGGACAAAGCAAGGAGACGCCUAAGAGCAAACGUCUCCAGCUGAAACGUGUGUGAAAAGCUAACAACCACCAAAGCCGCUUGGCUUCCGUGGAUCCUGUUCCUCAAAGACAGCUGAGGCCUCUUGAAGAGCUGGCCCCAGACCACCCGCAGUGCCCUCCUCCCACGGCAGAGGGCGCCGAAGGACCGGCCUCGCCAGUGUGGACACGGGAUGUGAAGAGAAGGGACUGCCCAAAGCAGCCGUGGUCCCACGUGAGAACUGCCUUCCACAGCAGGUUCAGGGUGCGGUUCAAGACGUCUGUGACCCCCAAAGCCUGGCCUGUUUCCCUGUUGUUCCUGUAAGAGCAAGAGCAGAUGAAAUAAAGAUUUUGAAGGCCUGCCCAGCUCUGGAUGCCAGAAUGUGCCCAGGAAGGCUCUCGGGGUCCUCACUCUCGGGGGAGUGGGGAUGAAUCUGAGAGGUGGUUCUCCUGCGGCCGGCUGCAGCACAACCUUCUUCACACUCCAGAACGAUACCUUCAUUCCUCUCUGCACACUCAAGAUUUUACCCAUAGUCUCUGCCCUUAGAGCAUGCCACCCCAAAGUAUGCCUCUCUGGCAUAAGGAUAUUUUGAGCUGAAGGCAAUAGAGAAGAAGCAGACACAGGAACUACCAGGAAGGGCAGGAUGAUUCUUAAUCACAAGACAACUCUAGAUUCUGGCCAACCCCGGGACUGCCCCCGAGGAAUCCACGAGGAAUCUACGUGACAAACCUCGCUAACACAACCCUCAGCUUCGAAAUGGCAUCGAACUGUGCCUGCUGACCUGUGACUUUGCCGUUGUUCAGAUACUGUUCAUGCAACUGAUGGACCUGCAGAUCCACCUAAUACUCCACAUCUGCCGUGUGACGUUCCCUAGAUGCUCACGUUGUUUAUGUGAGCAAUCCCCUGCUGAUGGAUGUUUAGAUUAUUUCUAAUUUUUUAUCAUAAAUAAGAAUUCAGUGAAUAGCUAUGCAUUUGUAAAUAUUUUAUUACAAUAAAUUCUAGGAAGUAAAAUUGCUGGGUGAAAGAUGUAUACGUUUCAGAGUUCUCAUAUGGUUUUAAAUCUCUCUCAGUCUGACCUCAGGAAAGGUAAGCAAGGGACAGUGAAAGUGGAGAGAGACCCAGGGAGCCCAGACGCACCAGAUCUAAGUCAGCUCACACUGCCAUGGCAGGCAGAGUCUGUUCUCUUGUCGGCGUCUGAAGUGGGCCACGCGAUGGGUCUUUGAGAACCCUCAGUGGACAAAGGCUACUCAAGCUGUUUUGAGAGCACUGGGCAUGGAUGGCCAUGGUGCUCAUCAGCAAAGCAGCUGCUAGUCACUGGCAGCAACAAAGUCACCUCUGUGCCAGGAUCCCUUCUGGUCCUACAACACGGCUCCUCUGAAUGGUAAAGACAAUCCUGAGGAAGCAGAGGUGGACGCCACCUCAGUCCUACAAAAGAGAGAACAAGGAUUUCUAGUCUUUCCUUCAAGAAGUAGCUGAUUGACAGACAAUGUGCAAUGAUCCAAGCUCAGUGAGUACAGGCUGCUUAGCUCCUUGAGACACUAGAUGACAACAUGUAGACCUCAUGCACGCAGCUUGCUGCAGCUUAUCCAACAAAUGUCCAGUGCUUGGCUGAACUAUUACAGGAGAUGAGACCGGCCAUUGUAAAGCUAAUUAAACUACCAAGACGAUGCAUAAGAAAUCAGCUGCACACACAAUGGAAUGGUAUUGGUGCCUGGUUCUGACUCAGAUGUGAUCAUUUUGAGCUGGGCGGGGAAGGGCUCCUCACCUGUAACUAUUUCUUCCAAAUGCAUGCCC